ensembl:lncRNA novel transcript, antisense to ST3GAL2
ACCAGACCCGCCUUCUUCCAUCAUGCCCAUUUCAGAACAAUGAAGGACUAGACAGUUUUUUGUUCCUUUUAAUUCAGAAAGGGAAGGAAAUAAAAAAGUGUGUUUAAAUUACUAUUGCAGAAAAUCUGGCUGGAUGCUGGGACCUACCUCUUCCAGGAUGGGGAUUCAUGAUUUAAUUUUUUUGAGACAGGGUCUUGCUCUGUCGCCCAGGACAAAAACAGGAAGCUCUGUGAGUGUGGGAAAACUCCGCUGCAGAGAUCGAGAUCCUUUCCGCAGUAGGUCUUGCCCUUCUGCUUCCCAUCUGAGGUGCUGGUCCCUUCUCCUGGUGGCCCCAGCCCCAGCUGCAGUUGCGUAGGGGUCGCAAAGCUCCUACUGUGGCUGUGGGGUCCUCUGGCGCUGGGAACAGCUGCUGUUCAGCGGGGCACUGUGUCCAAUACCAUCUGGGUCAGGCGAGCUUGUGCUGAGCUCCCUACCAGGGUCCAGGUCUCCUUCCUAAUACUCCUGGCCCAGGUUCUGCCCAUCCCCACUCCCCCGGGGCCAGCCUAUCCUGCUGUGAGCUCACAGUAAUCCCCUGGCAGGUUCCCCUUCAC